rnacentral:rRNA from 1 species
AACGAACGCUGGCGGCAGGCUUAACACAUGCAAGUCGAGCGAUCCCUUCGGGGAUAGCGGCGGACGGGUGAGUAACGCGUGGGAACGUGCCCAGAGGUACGGAAUAGCCCCGGGAAACUGGGAGUAAUGCCGUAUGAGCCCGCCUCGUAGCGAUACGGGGCGGGGAAAGAUUUAUCGCCUUUGGAUCGGCCCGCGUCGGAUUAGGUAGUUGGUGGGGUAACGGCCCACCAAGCCGACGAUCCGUAGCUGGUUUGAGAGGAUGAUCAGCCACACUGGGACUGAGACACGGCCCAGACUCCUACGGGAGGCAGCAGUGGGGAAUCUUGGACAAUGGGGGCAACCCUGAUCCAGCCAUGCCGCGUGAGCGAUGAAGGCCUUAGGGUUGUAAAGCUCUUUCAGCGGGGAAGAUAGUGACGGUACCCGCAGAAGAAGCCCCGGCUAACUCCGUGCCAGCCGCCGCCGUAA